rnacentral:misc_RNA from 1 species
GAUUAAGAACGUAGUGAAAUGCGAUACUUGGUGUGAAUUGCAGAAUCCCGUGAACCAUCGAGUCUUUGAACGCAAGUUGCGCCCGAAGCCAUUAGGCCGAGGGCACGCCUGCCUGGGCGUCACACGUCGUUGCCCCCCCAUCUACUCCUUCGGGAUUGCGGGGGGCGGAUGAUGGCCUCUCGUGCGCCUCGUCGCGCGGUUGGCCUAAAUGCCAAGUCCUCGGCGACGCACGCCACGACAAUCGGUGGUUGCGAAACCUCGGUUGCCUGUCGUGUGCGGUCGUCGCGCAUCGAGGGCUCGAAAAAAUUGCCGGGCUUCGGCUCGACUUUCAACGCGACCCCAGGUCAGGCGGGGUUACCCGCUGAAUUUAAGCAUAUCAAUAAGCGGAGGA